ACUCCUACGGGAGGCAGCAGUGGGGAAUCUUGCACAAUGGAGGGAACUCUGAUGCAGCGACGUCGCGUGAACGAUGAAGGCUUUCGAGUCGUAAAGUUCUGUCCUAUGGGACGAUAAUGACGGUACCAUAGGAGGAAGCCCCGGCUAACUACGUGCCAGCAGCCGCGGUAAU
rnacentral:rRNA from 1 species